AUUACCGGUACAUGUCUUAAUAAUUGUCAGUAUAGCAGCAACAGGCAUAUGCAGUGACACAUUAGUUGCAGACCAAACUCUGUUAAGAUCAAUGCAUAUGCAAUUAUCUUUUCAAGUAAUACAUUGCAUACAUCGGUAAUAAAUCUCAUGAAAGGCAAACCUAUCCAUUCACUUUCCCGAGUGCUUGUUCUCAUGAUGGUCACGGUGAGCUGGAGUCUAUCCCAGCUGACUUUGGGUGAGAGGCUGUGCACCCUUGGCUGGUCGGCAGCCAAUUGCAGGGCAAAAAUAAACAAACAGCCGUUCGCACUCACAUUCACAGCUAUGGACAAUUUAGAGUUUUCAGUGAACCUGCAGAGAUGCUAGUUGACGGUCGAAGACAAGAUAAUAAGGUCUUGAGUCUUCUCCGGGAGCCGAACCUGCUGCAGAUCGAUGUCAAGACUGUUGCCUUUAAAGUUGUGCCAUGCCUUGUUAAAUCUUUUUGGUGGACGGUGAAUCUGAAAUCUGCCCAGUCAUUAUUGGACGACACAGACGCACGUUGGCCCUUCUGAUGUAGAGAAAAGAUCAACUUUGCUGUUGUUUCCGUCAUCUCCCAAAAGAGACAAGAGCCGAGCUUCUCCUCUUGAAGUUCGACACGCCACCUCCAAUUUUGGAAGUCUUGACGAGUGAGAGAAGUCGAGUGUUGUUACUUGCCGGAAGACGUGUGAAAAUGUCUGCAAAUUCUGCUUUCUGAAGUGCACCAUUGAGCACCAGCUUUGAGCCUCGCUGGCUCCGCAUCGGCAGUCUCCACGUUUUCACUCACAACUCAUCGACUACAGGAGCUUGUUUUGUGGCCCUAUACUCAUACAGUACACCCCAGAGUUUUGGAUGCGCAUCAGCAACUUGGAAAUAGUCUUUCUGGACCUGAAACGUCUGCCUGAGGGCAGGCGUUCAAACAGUUUGUGUCCAGGGUGUGAUGGAUCCUGGAGAAUUCUCUUGAUAUUCCCAAGGCAACGGGAACCGUGUAGAUCUUCAAGUGAAGGGAGAGGGCAGCCAACUAUCUGCUGGGCGACCUGUACGACCGCAGUCAGUGCUACUGCUCUACCCAUAUUAUUUUCGGCUCCACCAGAAGAUGGCUGACUUAAAUGGCGCGUAGCUGCAAGCAUAAUAACCAGCAUGGAACUGACCAGAGAAACAAGUAUGAAACUGGUGUCGUGGGUCAGAUGGUGCCUAUCCAAGCCGACUUUGGCCGAGAGGCUGGGUACACCCUGGAGUGGUCGCCAGGCAAUGAGCUGGCAAGAUGGCGAGGAUCGAAGUGAGGCUCUUAUUUCAUCGACCGGCCGAGACAAGAUCUAAGGAGAACUACUUCCUCGGAGGCGUCCACCUGCGGCUCUUCAUUUCAUUAAAUGGACUCUCAUGCAGUUUUAACUAACAUCGUACAGCAUCAUACCAUGUGAUAAUGUUGUCCACUCGGCAUCCAGGAAGAGGGAUCUGUUAUCCCUUUUUAAGGUUUCUCCUAUUCCCCCCUAUUCCUUUUCCUUGUCUAUCUAAGCCAGCCGAUUUUUGUGAACUGUUGGCCUGUGAGGUCCUUUGAGACAAUUUUGUGA